rnacentral:ncRNA from 20 species
CUCUUAUUCAGAGUGGUGGAGGUAAAAGGAUCUAUGAAGCCACGGCAACCCCGGGAACGGAAGGUGCCAACCUGAGCGAGUAAUCGAACAAUAAGAG